UAUUGUGUAUGUGUAUUUGUGUAUGUGUGUAUUUGUUGUGUGUGUGUAUGUGUAUUUGUGUAUGUGUGUGUAUUUGUGUAUGUGUGUAUUUGGUGUGUACGUGUGUGUGUGUUUAUUUGUGUAUUUGGUGUGUACGUGUGUGUAUGUGUAUUUGUAUGUAUGUGUGUAUUUGGUGUGUACGUGUGUGUAUUUGUGUGUGUGUACGUGUGUGUAUGUGUAUUUGUGUAUGUAUUUGUGUGUACGUGUGUGUAUGUGUAUUUGUGUAUGUGUGUAUUUGUGUGUGUGUACGUGUGUAUGUGUAUUUGUGUAUGUGUGUAUUUGUGUAUGUGUGUGUGUUUGUGUAUGUGUGUGUGUUUGUGUAUGUGUGUAUUUGGUGUGUACGUGUGUGUGUGUGUGUGUGUUGAAAAUUGGGCAAUUAAAGCUGUGGAUGAGAAGCUGUGACUUGUCUGUGUGUUUGUUCCUCAGAGGAGACGGGUUUAACGGCCUGUGUCUCCUGCCGGUUACCUCUGUAACUCUAAAUUACGUGCUCUUCGUUUCUGAUUUCACAACCUUACGUAAAAUCUGUAGAUUCCGCUUAGGAAAGUUGAUUUAGCUCAUGUAGUAUUACUUUCUCUUUCUCCUGCCCCCAGGUUUUUAUUAUUUCUGCUUUGGAUCUGAGCUCUGUUGAUUCUGGACAACAUAAGUUCCCCCUCAGAGUGGUUUCUUUCCCUGGUGUUUGGGUGGGUAAAGUAGAGGGCACAUGACAGGGAGAGAGCACAAGGUCCCCAGUUGCAGACUUAAUAGCACAGAUCUGUGUACACCUUUGUGAGAAGCACACGUGUGCACACACAGUGAGUGGCGCACACACACGUGCACACACGGUGGCAUGCACACGUGAGGCACACGCACACUGGCACACUGCACCCAGUGCAGAGUGCUUCACUCAUGCGCAGUCCCAGCCGUGUGAAGCCUCCUGCAGGCUUUGUGUGGCAGAAGCUCCCAAGACACUGUUUUCAUGACUUUCAGCCAAGUUCAAAAAACCUGCCAUCCUGGGGGGCGUCAGGCUGCCAGCAUCCUCCUGUGCCUGCUGCCCUGCUUUCUUGCGGAGCCAUCCGCUGGUCAGCCAUCAUACAGAGAGGAGUGGGGAUGCUGAGACUGGGCAGCCUGCCCAGGGGUCACUGCCGUGAGCAGCUUUCAGGGCUGGGAAUAGACGGGGACAGGAGGUUUGGGUGUGUCUGUGUCUUGUUGAAGGUCCUCUGAGGGCAGAAGCUGGUGUGUUCCCAGCACCUGGGGCAGUGCUGGGUGGGGGAGCCGCCUCAUAGGCACUUGAUUUUCCUGUUCUGACCACCUGUCCAUCUGGAGUUUUCUAGGGCAG
rnacentral:lncRNA from 10 species